rnacentral:rRNA from 1 species
AUGGCGAUCAUCAUCUUCCUGGAUUCGCCGGUCUGCUCAGGCUUCUCGUAUGCUCGUGACCCCAAAGGCUGCGAUGUCACAGAUUACUUGUCCUCUCUGCAAGUCCAAAGAUUCCUGAACAAGUGGUUCACUGACCACCCACAGUACCUUUCAAAUCCUUUCUACCUUGGAGGAGAUUCUUUUUCGAUAAAGGACAUUUCAUUGAAUAGAUAUAUCGAGGGCAAAGAAGAGUGUAGGAUCCUCAUGAUGUUUCUCCUUUUUUGUGUUAAUGCAAUUUAUUUCCAAGGCUACCUGAUCGGCAAUCCUAUAACAGACCCAAAGUUUGAUAACAAUUUCCAAGUUCAAGGGGCUCAUGGCUUUGGGAUAAUAUCUGACCAAAUAUAUGAGGCUGCAAUGAAGAACUGCAAAGGAAAUUAUGUAAACCCCGCGAAUCAACUGUGUGCUGAGGUGCUAGAAACUGUAGACAGUGUAAGAUUCAUGUGCUGGCAUUUUUUUCGUGAACUUAUGCUAUUCUCAACAUGGGCUAAUGAGCAUCCCUUUUGCUACAGCUCAUUUCUGAAAUCGCAGAUGCACACGUCCUGUACAAAAAAUACAUACGAUUACUACCUGGCAUACUUCUGGAUGAACAACAAGAUGACUAGAGAAGCUCUCGAGAUCAAGGGGGGAACAGUUGGCGAGUGGGUGAGAUGCAAAAAAGAACUCCCCUACACACAGGACAUGCCAAGCAGCAUACCAUACCAUCUUAAUCCCACCACGAGAGGUUACCGUGCACUCGUGUACAGCGGAGACCAUGAUCUCCAGGUGCCUCAGCUCAGCACGCAGGCGUGGAUAAGAUCUUUGAACUUCUCCAUCGCCGAUGACUGGAGGGCAUGGCAUCUCGAUGGCCAGGCUGCAGGAUUUACCAUCACAUAUGCAAAUAAAUUGACCUUUGCAACAGUAAAGGGUGGAGGUCAUACUGCUCCAGAGUACCAGUCUGAAGAAUGCUUUGCCAUGGCCCAAAGGUGGCUUGACAACAAGCCACUCUGA